rnacentral:rRNA from 1 species
GAUGAACGCUGGCGGCGUGCCUAAUACAUGCAAGUCGAGCGAACGGACGAGAAGCUUGCUUCUCUGAUGUUAGCGGCGGACGGGUGAGUAACACGUGGAUAACCUACCUAUAAGACUGGGAUAACUUCGGGAAAACGGAGCUAAUACCGGAUAAUAUUUUGAACCGCAUGGUUCAAAAGUGAAAGACGGUCUUGGUGUCACUUAUAGAUGGAUCCGCGCUGCAUUAGCUAGUUGGUAAGGUAACGGCUUACCAAGGCAACGAUGCAUAGCCGACCUGAGAGGGUGAUCGGCCACACUGGAACUGAGACACGGUCCAGACUCCUACGGUAGGCAGCAGUAGGGAAUCUUCCGCAAUGGGCGAAAGCCUGACGGAGCAACGCCGCGUGAGUGAUGAAGGUCUUCGGAUCGUAAAACUCUGUUAUUAGGGAAGAACAUAUGUGUAAGUAACUGUGCACAUCUUGACGGUACCUAAUCAGAAAGCCACGGCUAACUACGUG